UCUCCGUAGGUGAACCUGCGGAGGGAUCAUUAAAGAGAUAGGGUUCUCACGAAUCCGACCUCCAACCCUUUGUCUACCAAACCACUGUUGCCUCGGCGGGCCGUCGGUUCCCCUUACCGGGUGCCGCCGUCGGCCCUCGUGCUCUCGAGCGCCCGCCGCGGGACCUUCAAAAACCCUUCUGAAACAAGCAAUCUGAGUGAAUUUAAUGCUUCAAUUAAAACUUUCAACAACGGAUCUCUUGGUUCUGGCAUCGAUGAAGAACGCAGC
rnacentral:misc_RNA from 1 species